rnacentral:rRNA from 1 species
CAAUAGCGUAUAUUAAAGUUGUUGCAGUUAAAAAGCUCGUAGUUGAACUUCAGGCUUGGCGGGGUGGUCUGCCUCACGGUAUGUACUACCCGGCCGAGCCUUACCUCCUGGUGAGCCUGCAUGCCGUUUAUUCGGUGUGUAGGGGAACCAGGAAUUUUACUUUGAAAUAAUUAGAGUGUUCAAAGCAGGCAUAUGCCCGAAUACAUUAGCAUGGAAUAAUAGAAUAGGACGUGCGGUUCUAUUUUGUUGGUUUUGAGAGCUGGGGCAGCGAUUGAUAGGGACGGAUGGGGGCAUCCGAACUUUACUGUCAGAGGUGAAAUUCUUAGAUCGGUCAAAGGCGAACUACUGCGAACGCAUUCGCCAAGAAUGUUUUCUUUAA